rnacentral:ncRNA from 1 species
UCCUGACUAAUUGUUUCACAUGAAACAUUUAGACUAACCCAGACAGGAGACUACAAUG